rnacentral:rRNA from 1 species
GAUGAACGCUGGCGGCGUGCCUCAAACAUGCAAGUCGAGCGAGGCUAUGAGUUACCGCAAGGUAAGGCAUAGCCUAGCGGCGAACGGGUGAGUAACACGUGGGUAACCUACCUGGAAGACAGGGAUAACGAUUCGAAAGGGUCGCUAAUACCUGAUAAUAUCCGUCUGCCGGAUGGCGGAGGGAAGAAAGGGGAAACCCGCUUUCAGAUGGGCCCGCGUCCCAUCAGCUAGUUGGUAAGGUAAAGGCUUACCAAGGCGACGACGGGUAGCCGGUCUGAGAGGAUGUACGGCCACACUGGGACUGAGAUACGGCCCAGACUCCUACGGGAGGCAGCAGUUGGGAAUCUUAGGCAAUGGACGAAAGUCUGACCUAGCGACGCCGCGUGAGGGAAGAAGGCCUUCGGGUUGUAAACCUCUGUCAUGGGGAAGAAGGAAGUGACGGUACCCAAGAGGAAGCCCCUGCUAACUACGUGCCAGCAGCCGCGGUAAAAGUCAACGUCG